CCUACGGGAGGCAGCAGUGGGGAAUAUUGGGCAAUGGAGGAAACUCUGACCCAGCAAUGCCGCGUGAAUGAAGAAGGUCUUCGGAUCGUAAAGUUCUGUAGUCAGGGAAGAAGUCAAUGACGGUAACUGAAGAAUAAGCCCCGGCUAACUACGUGCCAGCAGCCGCGUUAAUACGUAGGGAGCAAGCGUUUUUCGGAAUGACUGGGCGGAAAGGGGGCGUAGGCGGUUGUACAAGUUAGAAGUGAAAUACCCAGGGCUUAACUCGGGUGCUGCUUUUAAAACUGUAUGACUUGAGUGCAGUAGAGGUGAGUGGAAUUCCUAGUGUAGCGGUGGAAUGCGUAGAUAUUAGGAGGAACACCAGAGGCGAAGGCGGCUAACUGGACUGCAACUGACGCUGAGGCACGAAAGUGUGGGGAGCAAACAGGAUUAGAUACCCUUGUAGUC
rnacentral:rRNA from 1 species